GAUGAAGAACGUAGCGAAAUGCGAUAAGUAAUGUGAAUUGCAGAAUUCAGUGAAUCAUCGAAUCUUUGGACGCACCUUGCGCCCUUUGGCCAUUCCGAAGGGCAUGCCUGUUUGAGUAUCAUGAACACCUCAACUCUUCAUGGUUUUCCAUGAUGAGCUUGGACUUUGGGGGUCUUGCUGGCCUGUGGGUCGGCUCCUCUCAAAUGAAUCAGCUUGCCGGUUUUUGGUGGGCAUCACAGGUGUGAUAACUAUCUACGCUUGUGGUUUUCCACCAGGGUAACCUUCAGCAGUGGAGGUUCACUGGAGCUUACAAAUGUCUCUCCUCUGUGAGGACAGCCCUUUGAAUGUUUGAUCUCAAAUCAGGUAGGACUACCCGCUGAACUUAAGCAUAUCAAUAAGCGGAGGA
rnacentral:misc_RNA from 1 species